rnacentral:misc_RNA from 1 species
ACGGUGCUCCGGCCGUGCACGGAUCACCACCCCACCACCUCUAAACUAGUCGGUCACCGAGGCGGCUGUACGGGGUAACUGUGCCGCGGCUGUGCGGUGCACCGCUUCGCUCCCUUCUUCAGUCCCAACAUUUUCUUUCCUUCUCUCUUCGGUGCUGCACGUCGGUGGGAGCGCUGCGUUGCAAACCCUCACACAUCCCUUCCCCAUGCCUACACGCGUCCCUCAUCAAGUCGUGGAGGGCCGCCUUCUUCAGGCUUCCCGUCUGCCCGAGGCACUCUACGAGGUGGUAGGCUUGGUGUGGUUCAGCCUUGUUAACAGCGCAUGCGACACUCCAGCUGCCGAGGUUGCCACCGCUGCCGCCGCUGCUGCCACCCCGGGUGCAGAUUUAGAAGCUGCACCUUUGACGCCUCCGCCGCUACAUGCACCGUGGGCACGGUCUGCGGCGCGCGACACGCACGACGCAGGGAGCGGUGCACCAAACACUUCGGAGGAGUCGUUCGCUGCGGUUCUCGGGCACACAAAAACCGGCCAAGCCCUCUCUGCUGCCGAUUUGGACGAGUGGGCGAAUACGGCGUUGAGCAGUUUCUUUGGCGAUUACGAUACGCUCCUUUCCGAACCACCUAAAAUGAUGACACCAGCAGUGCUUCCAGCCGCCUCGCCGACAACCAGCUCUGCGCAGGACUUGCCAUCCUCUACUUCAUGCGCGCCGCGUCCUACGCCAGUGGUCGAACUCAGCCCGCUUAUCUUGCGUGUGCUCCUGUGGUGGGCUGGUCGUCCUCAGCUGCCGUCGCGGCGAAGCGGGCACGCUGCCAAGGUCGAACGACAGAAUACCUACAGCAACCGCAUCACUCGCUACGAUGUGGACGUCGGUUCGACGAGCGAGUUGCCUGCUGACAGUCGCGCACCUUCACACGCGUCGUCCAGCGACAACGGUGGCAGCGGUAAUCUGCCAUCACAGCAGCAGGACGAUGCCAUGGGUGCGCAGCAGCUGCGGCUGCGCAUUGCCGACAUCUUCGCCCUGCUGUGCCGCCGCGACGGUGGAGUGGCUGUGUCCGACGCGCUUCUGUACGGUCGCUGCCACGACGCCUCCGAGCUUGCGGCGCAGCGCUGCCACCUUGUAUUCAGCGGCUUCUCCGAUGCACGCUGGAGGGCGGCGACAGCACUGGCUCCGAAUUCGCCCAAAACCUUCGCUACCGCCCUCGAGCUGGCGUUGAUUGAGCCCUCUGCCUCACCUGAUUCUAAGGACGGCGGUGCAAGUGCGCGCAGUGGCACGUACGACGUGAGCCAAGUGCUGUGCGCACUGGUGGACCUGCACACGUCUGCCGCAUCUGCCACUCGACGCUCUCAGCCGAGACCGUCUCCGCACCUCAGAACGGACGCGAACGUUGAUUCCGACGUGGUGGCGACAGGGGUGCUGCUCCGCGCUCUGCUCCGCUGCCCACCGCUCCACAAGAGACUCAUGCGACUGUUUAGCGGCGACGCGCGCGCAGCAGAGCCGCGACGCCACAGGCGAGGAGCCUCGGCUGUCGUAGUGACGCCGCAGGCGGCGGCGUCCUUGAAGUCCUCAGAAGAGGUUGAACCGGGCUCGUCGUCGACUGUAGUCCUGAAAGCGGCGGACACUCGUAGGCAGCUCGAUAUCUUUCUGCCCGCCCUCACUCACGCAUCACCGAUCGUGUCGGCCGACUCGUGGCAAACGUUGACGAUGCUGCUGUUUCCGUCCUCAACCGCCACCGUCAGCUCUGCAACGCGACGACUACUGCUGUUUGCGCCGGCGUGCCCGGUGCAGCGCCUCCUUGCAGCCGCGUUGGCACUGCCUGGAGACGACAAUGACGACACAUGUGCGAGUAGGCCAUCGACGCCACAGCCCGUCUUGCCCCCGUCUUCCCAUCCUAUGGCACGCAACAACGCACUGCGACUCCUCCACGUACUGUGCUCCUCGAGCGAUCUGCCGCCGGGCCUCCAGUCGCUGUUUCAACAGUGCCCCGCGCUACUGUGGCGGGUGCUGCGCCUGGCCGCUGCGGUCUGCCAAGGGGUGGCCGUUGCUCAUGUCGCGCUGGUGCGACGCGUUCUCGUCGACUACAUCAUGCUAUGUGCUUCGCAGUCUAGCUGUAGCGAAAGCGGCGGUGUCGACCUGCACAACAACUCUAGCGUCUCCACCCAGGUGCUUCUGCGCGAAAACAAGGAUGCUGUCGCCCGCUUCUUGGCGUCGACGCACGCGGCGUGGGGUGGUGGUGGCAGAGCGCCGGAGGACACUGGCGGUGACUUGGCUGGCGCCGCCGCUCCUGCAUCCUCUGAGAAUGGCUACGACGAGGGCCACCUAAUGACGGUCCUGAACGCGCUGUGAGUGUGCGCGGUCGUACGCUUCGGCACACCACCGCAUGCCACUACUAUCCCUUCGUGGGUAAUG